GGUGGGCACCCGGGGAAGGUUGGGGCUCCUCUGCCUGGAGCUGGCAGUGCCUUAAGUGGACAGUCCCUCUGAGAGCCAAGGGAUGGGGGCGCUGGGAAAAGGAAACACAGCCGCUGCUCUCUGGGAGAACAGGGACUGUGACGGUAACUCAACUCCCAAGUCAGCAACUCAGCCCCUGAGGUUCUGUCCGUACCCCUCUAGCUGGCUGCCAGGGAGAGCAUUCAGUCGUCAGCAUCCUGAGAUCCAAGAAGACGCUGAGAAGGGAAACCACCAGGCAAGUUGCUGGAAAAGAAACAUGACCAGAGGCCUGCCUGUACCACACCGACCCCUGAGCGUGGUGUCCAACGAGCCAGCGUUGGGACUCGGGCCCCUUGUAUAGACUCUUUCUAUACAAGGAGAAGAUUCCAGAAAGCACUGGAGGCGGGCGCAGAGGAGCACACAGAUCACAGCCUACUCUCUCACCACAUCAUCAUCUCCACAGUGGCACUGCAUGCCCACAGCCCAGGCUGCAGGUCGCCGUGUCCGACGCGAGGCCACUGCAGGUCACCGUGUCCGACGCGAGGCCACUGCAGGUCACCGUGUCCGACGCGAGGCCACUGCAGGUCACCGUGUCCGACGCGAAGCCACAGUGUCCUCCGUCUGACUUCCUUGCACAUGCCUUUGCCGCAAGACUUAUGACGAGUCACAGGUCCGGCUUGGAUCCUGAGGCUGCCAUGCAUCUGCUGUGUGACUAUAAGCUGGGAACUCAGCCACUCUGGACAGCUGGGCUCCAUGACUGGCAAGUCGGGGGAGGGGAGGGGCAGGUAAGGCUGGGUCUGCAGCAGCCUUCGGUAGGAUGGGCAUGAUCCUGGAUAAGAUGUGCAGAGUAGAGAGGAUCACAGUGCCCGGGUACACAAAUGGGUAAGUUCGGGUCCACAUACUGAUCUGGGCAGGUCCAGAUCGCCAGACGGUGUGCUGUGUGGCCCAAAGACUCCACAGUGGGCCCAGGAUGGCGGAACUGCGGAACAGGCAUUGUCCAGGCAGGCACAGUACAGCACUGCCAAAUGGAGCAGCUUAGUUCCCGCUCUACUGUGUCCCCCUCACCCCAGGCAAACAGUGCCCAUCCACAGCACAAGCCUGCCCCCUGGCCUCGGAAGCCUAUAGGACAGUGAUGAAGCCAGGGACGAUCGAGCGACAACCCUGUGGCAGAAACACCCUUGAUUCACGUGUCUGGCGGGCACACUAGGCAGGUGAGGCUGGCACCUUCUGUAGCUAUAGCAAACGCCCUCCAAGGACUGUUGAAUGGCAGGUGUGGAGAGCCAGUUUGUUUUGUUUUUUGAGGUCGGAUGCCUGUAUGUAGACCAGCCUAACCUCAAAACUCACGAUUCUCCUGCCUCAGCUUCCCAAGUCUAGGGACCACAGGCAUGCACAACCAACAUUUGUCUCUUCUGUGGCUUCCAGAACAAUCCCACCCUCCCUUCUGUUCGCUCCCUACUCACCCUCAGAGUGGUAGCCAUAGGCCCACACCAGCCCUCUCUCCUCUUCCUUCUCCCAUCCUCUGGCACCAGGUCAACCCCUGAAGCAUUCCCUAUGGUAAUCAUGCCCGUUCACAGUCUAGGGGCUGCCGCUUCUGCCAAGAUGCUCUCCCUGACUGCCUCUUCAGGCGGCAUUCACAGCAUCUCCGCCAUACCCCCCCCCCCCAGUAGUCUGAGGGCAUUCACACAGCAUGAAUGACAAGCCGGUAGUCCCUGCACGCAUGGCCAGGGCCAGAGAGAGGGCUCAGAGGGUGAAGCUUCUUGCAGCCAAGCCUGACGAUUAGCAGGCAGGUCUGACCCCAUUAGCUGCUAGCCUUCUACAUGUGUGCUGUGGCACACACACCAAAUAAAAUGUAAAAAUAAAAUUCAAAA